GGUGAGGUGUCCGAGUGGCUGAAGGAGCACGCCUGGAAAGUGUGUAUACGUUAACAGCGUAUCGAGGGUUCGAAUCCCUCCCUCACCGCCA
rnacentral:tRNA from 3 species